rnacentral:rRNA from 1 species
GCGUUGUCUGGAAUCAUUGGGCGUAAAGAGCGUGUAGGUGGCCCGGUCAGUCCGCCGUGAAAGUCCAGGGCUCAACCCUGGAAUGCCGGUGGAUACUGCCGGGCUGGAGUCCGGAAGAGGCGAGUGGAAUUCCUGGUGUAGCGGUGAAAUGCGCAGAUAUCAGGAGGAACACCAAUGGCGAAGGCAGCUCGCUGGGACGGUACUGACACUGAGACGCGAAAGCGUG